GACAGAGGGUGCAAACGUGUUCGGAAUUACUGGGCGUAAAGCGCGUGUAGGCUGCCCUGCAAGUCAGGUGUGAAAGCCUGGGCUCAACCUAGGAAGUGCACUUGAAACUGCGGGGAUUGAGUGCUGGAGAGGGAAGCGGAAUUCUCGGUGUAGAGGUGAAAUUCGUAGAUAUCGAGAGGAACACCGGUGGCGAAGGCGGCU
rnacentral:rRNA from 1 species